rnacentral:rRNA from 1 species
AGCAGCCGCGGUAAUUCCAGCUCCAAUAGCGUAUAUUAAAGUUGUUGCAGUUAAAAAGCUCGUAGUUGAAUUUCGGGGUUAGUAGGUUGGUCAUGCCUCUGGUAUGUACUGGUCUCACUGAUUCCUCCUUCCUGAUGAACCGUAAUGCCAUUAAUUUGGUGUUGCGGGGAAUUUGGACUGUUACUUUGAAAAAUUAAGAGUGUUUAAAGUCAAGCUAACGCUUGAAUACAUUAGCAUGGAAUAAUGAAAUAGGACGUUCGAUCCUAUUUUGUUGGUUUCUAGGAUUGACGUAAUGAUUAAUAGGGAUAGUUGGGGGCAUUAGUAUUCAAUUGUCAGAGGUGAAAUUCUUGGAUUUAUUGAAGACUAACUACUGCGAAAGCAUUUGCCAAGGAUGUUUUCAUUAAUCAAGAACGAAAGUUAGGGGAUCGAAGACGAUCAGAUACCGUCGUAGUCUUAACCAUAAACUAUGCCGACUAGGGAUCGGAUGAUGUUAAUUUUUUAAUGACUCAUUCGGCGCCUU